GACGAACGCUGGCGGCGUGCCUAAUACAUGCAAGUAGAACGCUGAAGAAAGGAGCUUGCUUCUUUUGGAUGAGUUGCGAACGGGUGAGUAACGCGUAGGUAACCUGCCUUGUAGCGGGGGAUAACUAUUGGAAACGAUAGCUAAUACCGCAUAACAGCUUUUGACACAUGUUAGAAGCUUGAAAGAUGCAAUUGCAUCACUACGAGAUGGACCUGCGUUGUAUUAGCUAGUAGGUAGGGUAACGGCCUACCUAGGCGACGAUACAUAGCCGACCUGAGAGGGUGAUCGGCCACACUGGGACUGAGACACGGCCCAGACUCCUACGGGAGGCAGCAGUAGGGAAUCUUCGGCAAUGGGGGCAACCCUGACCGAGCAACGCCGCGUGAGUGAAGAAGGUUUUCGGAUCGUAAAGCUCUGUUGUAAGAGAAGAACGUGUGUGAGAGUGGAAAGUUCACACAGUGACGGUAACUUACCAGAAAGGGACGGCUAACUACGUGCCAGCAGCCGCGGUAAUACGUAGGUCCCGAGCGUUGUCCGGAUUUAUUGGGCGUAAAGCGAGCGCAGGCGGUUUAAUAAGUCUGAAGUUAAAGGCAGUGGCUUAACCAUUGUUCGCUUUGGAAACUGUUAAACUUGAGUGCAGAAGG
rnacentral:rRNA from 1 species